UGCUACUGUCUGCUGACUGUUGUGAGAGUAGAUCUACUGACUCUGUACUCAGUAAUGCCGGCUAAUGCCAGUAAUGGCAGCUGACUUUAUUUUCGGAGAAACACUACUGGUCCAGUACUGGACUGGAGUGGAGUGCCAUUGUAGUAAAAAUGAAUGGCGAUCGCUAGUCGCUACCCUAACGCGAAGGAAAGGCCUUGCGCGGCUGCUCUACGAAGUGUUGAAGAAAGACUCAAAGUUAGUUGCUGGACGAACAACUCGCUGGUGCCGGAAAACUUGGCUCCCAACGAUGGUGUUUGGUGCAUCAUCAAGCAUAAUGUCUUGUAGCAGUGUUCACCGAGGAAGGAGAACGCUCUAACCGCUGCUGUUGUCCGUUUCAUCCACGUUGGGCGUUAGCUGCACCGCGCCUAUUGUGUUUUAGUAUUCCAUGGACACACAUCAGCAUUCUGAGCGAAUGUGGAGCCACAAUUUACUUCACACAGCGUUGUAUUGUCCACGAGUGCAAACUUCAUUAUCAGCAGUACCUGUUACUCUUCAUCCUACAUGUAGAUAUGGAGUAUACACGGCCUUGUCACGACAGCGACAGCUCUACAGAGUGUUCAAGUGCGAAACCUUAAUAUUUCAAUUGUUGGUGGACGAACAAAUCGCUGGUUCCGAAAAACGCGACCUGCACCGAUGGUGUUUGGUGGAUCAUCAAACAGGGUGACCAGCAGUGUUAACCGAGGAAGGAGGACGCACUCGCCACCACUGUCGUCCGUUUCAUCCAAGUGGGCGUUAGCUGCGCCACGCCUAUUGUGUUUUAGUAUUCCAUGGACGCGUACUAGCGUUCUCAGCGAUUGUGGAGCCACAACUACUUAUCUUCAUGCAGCGUUGCCCUGUCCAAGAGCACAAACGUCAGCAGUGACCCAUCAUCAUACAUGUAGAUUUGGAGUGUACACACCAUGCGCCAAUGGGCCUUGGCACAACAGCGGCAGCUCUACGAGUGUUCAAGUGAGAAACAUUUGUUUCGACUGUUGGUGGACGAACAAAUCGUCGGUGCCGAAAAACGUGGCCUGCGCCGAUGGUGCUUGAAACAUCAAGCAUGGUAUAUGGUGGCUGCCAGUUUUCAUCGAGGAAGGAGAACACUCAGGCCGUCGUCUGGUCAUCCAUUUCGUUAGCUUCACUAAGUCUAUUGUGUCCUUGUAUUCCAUGGACACACAAUCAUGAAGCAUGGCGUCUGAGCUGUGUUCACAGAGCGUGGAGAUGCUCUCGCCGCUAUCUUAUCUGUCCUGUGUAUUCCCAAGUGUCGAAGGCUCACAACGAUGGCGUUGGACAAGUCAGAUAAAAUGGAGUCAACUGUACAAGCGCUGAAAUAGGGUGAUCGUGGAUUUGUGGGCCACGCCCAUGUGCCAAAAGCAUCCAACAAGGGCUAUAAUUAUACCUUCAAAGACUCAAAGAGGAAUGUGGACAAGGAGGCGAGUCGCAAGGUUAACCCCUGUCAAUUUGAUUAUCUAAUCAUGGCAGCAAAUUUACGCUGUGCAUUUCAAUUGCCUGCAAGCUGAUAGCAUCAUAAUGGACGGUUUUGCUAAAUAUUUUGCAUCAAUGGAUAGUACAGCUCCGCGGCAGGCCGCUUCUUGAGGAGUUGAGCCAAGCCCAACUUCUUCCUUGAUAAGUGACGAGCGACGCACAUCACUUUCUGAACUGGCAGGUGCUAGUGACUCGAGAGUUCUGGGCUGCGUGCGGUUUGGGACUGUGUGUGUAAUGCAGGAAUUUUGCUGCAAUGUUCCGUGCAUUGUGCAUCAGUUUUCGCGACAGACCCUUCACACGAUGGGAAGCAGAAUAUCACUCGGUGCCCAUAGCAUUGCAGAAGCGGUAUUAUGCAUAUCACUUUAGAAGCUAGUGUUUACCGAUACUCAUUGUGUUUCUGACAUGUCCAUUCUCGACUCUUUUCAGUGUCUGAUAAACACAACUGUGUGUGUGUGUGUGUGUGUGUGUGUGUGUGUGUGUGUGUUUGCGUGUGGAUGUAUGUGCGUGGUUGUGCACGUUUGUGUGUGUGUCUCUCUAGGUCAAGAAAAAGCCUGAUCGGUAUGAGAAGCAGUAGUUUUGAGCAAGACCAGGCUUGCUGCCGCCGUCAGUCUCGUUGGCACGAAGAUGUCACAGUAAUCAAAACAAUACAGAGAGCGGCCCAUCCGCAUCUUCUGUACAGCAAAGUAGCAGAUAGAUUGCCAUCAAGAACACUGGUCACGGUAUAUUGUACAAGGGUCCUUGCAAGUGGAUAUAUUAUAAAUAGGUGUGUUGUAUUAGUACUUCCUUGCUUGCUUGCUUGAUGUUGUUCGGUUUUCACCCGUUAUGCUCCCGGUUUACGAGUAUGUUUGUUUUUCGUGUCCUGUACUUGAUCAUUGCAUAUCUGUAUGUAGGUGUGCUGUGUGUGUAUGUGUGUGUGUGUGGGCAUGUAUGUGCUGUGUGUGUGUGUGUGUGCGCGCGCGCGUGCGUGUGAACGUGUUUAUGUGUUUAUACAUACUGUACGUGGAAGCGCGGAUGUCACACUGAUUAUAGUGUGGCAGCCUCGGGUCUGUAUGCUCUACAGGAGUAAAUACCGUGACCUGCCGCUACGCUGUUUUUUAUUGUUUUCAUCACCUUUUCCCAUUCUCGCAGCAGAGCGAGCUGAAUGCAGGCUUUCACUCAUCCAUCCGUCCUAAAAAAAAGUAAACUUACAUCAUUUUCUCCUAUUUUUCAAGUAUCCUGUGAAUCAGUAUGUUUGUGAGCUGCAGAUGAGACUACCGUGUUGAACAGCGUUCACACACAAACUCUUACAACCAGUCAGUAAGCACAGUGUUGUUGUGCUUGAUGCUUGAUACAGUUGUUAUGCAUUGCAGCUGAAUGGUCUUUGUUCUCAGCUUGUCCGAGCCUUGCUGUGAAUGGUCUUUGUUCUCAGCUUGUCCUAGCCUGCUUUGAAUGGUCUUGGUUCUCAGCUUGUCCUAGUCUUGCUGCUCUAGUUGUUCUUGUACCAUAAUGCAACCACAGUUGCCAUGAUUACCUGCUGUGCACCGA